CAGAGGUCUCAAGCGUUGUUCGGAUUCAUUGGGCGUAAAGGGUGCGUAGGCGGCGCGGUAAGUCGGAUGUGAAAUCUCGGAGCUUAACUUCGAAACUGCAUUCGAUACUGCCGUGCUUGAGGACUGGAGAGGAGACUGGAAUUUACGGUGUAGCGGUGAAAUGCGUAGAUAUCGUAAGGAAGACCAGUGGCGAAGGCGGGUCUCUGGACAGUUCCUGACGCUGAGGCACGAAGGUCAGGGGAGCAAACGGGAUUAGAUACCCCGGUAGUCCUGACAGUAAACGGUGCACGUUUGGUGUGAGAGGAUUCGACCCCUUCUGCGCCGGAGCUAACGCGUUAAACGUGCCGCCUGGGGAGUACGGUCGCAAGAUUA
rnacentral:rRNA from 1 species